rnacentral:tRNA from 1 species
UGGAGUAUAGCCAAAUGGCAAGGCACUCGUUUUUGGUACGAGCAUUUAUAGGUUCGAAUCCUGUUACUCCAGU